UUGCAACCAUAUCAUGUUAAAAAACUAGUUCCCAUAUGAUUACUGAAGUUAAGCAACUAUAAGCCUGGUCAGUACCUAGAUGGGGAACCACUUGAGAAUACUAGGUGUUGUAUG